UUCCUGUCCCACUCCAUCUGCUCUGUGGAGAUUGAUGCGUCAUGCUCCGGCAUCGAGCAAGAAGAGAAGUCUUGUGUAUCUGAUCCAACCUGCCUCUCAGCACCUAAGCCAAUCAGCUCCCCUCCCAGUCCUACCAGUGCCUUUGGGUCCAGUUAAAGAGUGUCCAAACAGCGUAACAAUGUUAUUGCUGAGGAGAAACAGUUACCCAAAUGACCCUCAGGCAGUCUCCUGACAACCAGAACAGAGCCUCGAAUCCUGGGCCCCAUGAAUGACAGAAUAUCACACACCACAACCCAACCAGCUCAGUUUGUAUAACCACACCUCCUUUAAAUAAAUGACCAAUGAAAAGCUCUGAAUAACUGUAGCUUUGUGUUACAUCAAAGUGACUGUGUUCAAAGUCGAUGAAAUACCUUACAAUGUGGACCAAGAAGUUUAAACUCUAUGACCCGUUUAAAUGAAACAAUAAAGGAUGAACUAA